UACGGGAGGCAGCAGGGGGAAUAUUGCACAAUGGGCGCAAGCCUGAUGCAGCCAUGCCGCGUGUAUGAAGAAGGCCUUCGGGUUGUAAAGUACUUUCAGCGGGGAGGAAGGCGAUGUGGUUAAUAACCGCGUCGAUUGACGUUACCCGCAGAAGAAGCACCGGCUAACUCCGUGCCAGCAGCCGCGGUAAUACGGAGGGUGCAAGCGUUAAUCGGAAUUACUGGGCGUAAAGCGCACGCAGGCGGUCUGUUAAGUCAGAUGUGAAAUCCCCGGGCUUAACCUGGGAACUGCAUUUUGAAACUGGCAGGCUUGAGUCUCGUAGAGGGGGUAGAAUUCCAGGUGUAGCGGUGAAAUGCGUAGAGAUCUGGAGGAAUACCGGUGGCGAAGGCGGCCCCUGGGACGAAGACUGACGCUCAGGGUGCGAAAGCGUGGGGAGCAAACAGGGAUUAGAUACC
rnacentral:rRNA from 1 species